UACGUAGGGGGCAAGCGUUGUCCGGAUUUAUUGGGCGUAAAGAGCGUGUAGGCGGCUAUACAGGUCCGCUGUGAAAACUCGAGGCUCAACCUCGAGACGUCGGUGGAAACCGUAUGGCUAGAGUCCGGAAGAGGAGAGUGGAAUUCCUGGUGUAGCGGUGAAAUGCUUAGAUAUGACAUAGAACACCAAUUGCGAAGGCAGCUCGCUACACGAAUAUUGACUCUGAGGCACGAAAGCGUGGGGAUCAAACAGG
rnacentral:rRNA from 1 species